rnacentral:rRNA from 1 species
AACGUAAGACACAAGCGUUAUCCGGAGUUACUGGGCGUAAAGGGCGUGUAGGCGGACGUGUAAGUCUAUUCUGAAAGCUCCUGGCUAAACUGGGAGAGGCGAAUGGAGACUGCAUAUCUGGAGUGAGGAAGAGGAAAGUGGAAUUCCGCGUGUAGUGGUGAAAUGCGUAGAGAUGCGGAGGAACACCAGUGGCGAAGGCAGCUCGUUACACGAAGAUUGACUCUGAGGCACGAAAGCGUGGGGAUCAAACAGG